UGGGGAAUAUUGCACAAUGGGGGAAACCCUGAUGCAGCGACGCCGCGUGAACGAAGAAGGUAUUCGUAUCGUAAAGUUCUGUCCUAAGGGAAGAUAAUGACAGUACCAUAGAAGAAAGCUCCGGCUAAAUACGUGCCAGCAGCCGCGGUAAUACGUAUGGAGCGAGCGUUGUCCGGAAUUAUUGGGCGUAAAGGGUACGCAGGCGGUUUAAUAAGUCGAAUGUUAAAGAUCGGGGCUCAACCCCGUAAAGCAUUGGAAACUGAUAAACUUGAGUAGUGGAGAGGAAAGUGGAAUUCCUAGUGUAGUGGUGAAAUACGUAGAUAUUAGGAGGAAUACCAGUAGCGAAGGCGACUUUCUGGACACAAACUGACGCUGAGGUACGAAAGCGUGGGGAGCAAACAGG
rnacentral:rRNA from 1 species